rnacentral:rRNA from 1 species
UACAGAGGGGGCAAGCGUUGUUCGGAAUUACUGGGCGUAAAGGGCGCGUAGGCGGCCGCCUAAGUCAGACGUGAAAUCCCUCGGCUCAACCGGGGAACUGCGUCUGAUACUGGGUGGCUUGAAUCCGGGAGAGGGAUGCGGAAUUCCAGGUGUAGCGGUGAAAUGCGUAGAUAUCUGGAGGAACACCGGUGGCGAAGGCGGCAUUCUGGACCGAUAUUGACGCUGAGGAGCGAAAGCCAGGGGAGCAAACGGG